GCCUUGGCCCCCACAGGGCAACCGGUGCCCCAACCCCAGCCGGGAGGUCUGGCUGGAGCCCGGGUCCCUCCAGGAUCCCCGGGAUGGGAUGGAGCCGCUGUUUCCGGGCCGUUUCCGCCGGCAUUUCCUCCCGGCUCGGCACCCUCCAGUGCUCCGCCUCCGCCUCCACCUCCCUUCUGCCUCUGGAGGAGGAGCUGGAGACGCUGGGCUGGGCACACACUCACACUAGCUCGCACAGUUACGCACACUCACAUUCUCACGUACAUCACUGCAAAGCCCCCUGUUGCCCACCAAGUCCCAGCUCCCAGCCCCCAGGCCCUUCCUGGUUGGAAUCCCCUGACCCUCACCUGCCCUGGGGGAGCCACAUCUGCCCCAGAUCCACCAACAUGUUUGUCUUCCCUGCAGAGGCCUGGGCUGUAUCCCACCUCCAAGCUGCCCCUUGGGCUGGGCCACCAUCCCAAAUGCUCUUCCCACCUUGCCCCUGACAGAUACCUGUGUGCCCUCCCCAGCCCCCUCCUCCCCACUCUGCCCCACCCACCUGGGCUGGGUCCCUCACACUGCCCCCCAUGCCCAACCUGGGCAGGAAACACAAAAGAGGUCUGUGAGCUUGUAGGGAUCGAGAGGUCUGGCUUCAGAAGACAGUGGUGAUGACGGGGGUUGGAGGGCCAGAACUAGAGAGAGACAGAGGCCAGAAGAUUCUGCACAGGGCUGGCAGUACAGGAAGGAGAAGGGGGGGAACAGGUUCAGUGCAGGGGUUGCAAGCUGACUGCUGCCACCUUGGCAUGGGGGUGGGGGAGUCUAAGGCUGGAGGGGGACAGGGAAGCCUGAUGAGAAAGGGCCCGGAGCCAGCGUGGGUGAGGCCCCUGGGGAAGUAAUAAGGAAGAGGAUGUUAUGGGGGUGAUAUAAAAGGAACAUGAGAAGUGGGGAAGGAUCAGGUCCGAGAGCAGGUUCACUGGGGUACAGAGAGGGACAAUGUUUCCUCAGGGACCCCUGAAUUCCCAGACCCAGCUCAGCCUGAAGACCAGCCCGUCUCCUCUUUGCCACCUCCCCGUCUCUGCUCUGUUGAAGAGUCAACCAACGCCUCAAGAGGACCCCGCUCAGAGGGCAGCUGAGGGACAGACACGCACGGGGGUCUGCACUGCGCCACUGCCACUGACUGAAACCCCCAAAAGGAGCCCAGGGAUGCUGCCCAGGCUGUGAACAGGGAAGCGGCGCUGUGGGGGCUGCCGGCAGCCGGGGCUGGAGAGAGACAUGUGGACACGUGGCCACCAUGGCUCCCGCCUGCCAGAUCCUCCGCUGGGCCCUUGCCCUGGGGCUGGGCCUCACGUUCCAGGCCACACCACGGCAUGCCUUCCGGUCUCAAGAUGAAUUCCUGUCCAGUCUGGAGAGCUAUGAGAUCGCCUUCCCCACCCGCGUGGACCACAACGGGGCGCUGCUGGCCUUCUCACCCCCUGCUCCCCGGAGGCAGCGCCGGGGCACGGGGGCCACCACCGAGUCCCGCCUCUUCUACAAGGUGGUCGCACCCAGCACCCAGUUCCUGCUGAACCUGACCCGCAGUCCCCGCCUGCUGGCAGGGCACGUCUCCGUGGAGUACUGGACACGGGAGGGCCUGGCUUGGCAGAAGGCUGCCCGGCCCCACUGCCUCUACGCUGGCCACCUGCAGGGCCAGGCUGGCAGCUCCCAUGUGGCCAUCAGCACCUGUGGGGGCCUGCAUGGCCUGAUUGUGGCAGACGAGGAAGAGUACCUGAUUGAGCCCCUGCAAGGUGGGGCCAAGGGACCUCGGGGCCCAGAGGAAAGUGGUCCCCAUGUGGUGUACAAGCGCUCCUCCCUGCGCCACCCGCACCUGGACACAGCCUGUGGAGUGAGAGACGAGAAACCGUGGAAGGGGCGGCCGUGGUGGCUGCGCACCCUGAAGCCAUCACCCGCUAGGCCUCUGGGGAACGAGACGGAACGAGGCCAGCCAGGCCUGAAGCGCUCGGUCAACCGAGAGCGCUACGUGGAGACACUGGUGGUGGCUGACAAGAUGAUGGUGGCCUACCAUGGGCGCCGAGAUGUGGAACAGUACGUGCUGGCCGUCAUGAACAUUGUUGCCAAACUUUUUCAGGACUCAAGUCUGGGAAACAACGUUAACAUCCUUGUAACGCGCCUCAUCCUGCUCACAGAGGACCAGCCCACACUGGAGAUCACCCACCAUGCUGGGAAGUCCCUGGACAGCUUCUGUAAGUGGCAGAAAUCCAUUGUGAACCGCAGUGGCCACGGCAACGCCAUCCCGGAGAACGGCGUGGCCAACCAUGACACGGCAGUACUCAUCACGCGCUAUGACAUCUGCAUCUACAAGAACAAACCCUGUGGCACGCUAGGCCUGGCACCCGUGGGUGGGAUGUGUGAGCGGGAGAGGAGCUGCAGCAUCAAUGAGGACAUUGGCCUGGCCACAGCGUUCACCAUUGCCCACGAGAUUGGACACACGUUCGGCAUGAACCACGAUGGCGUGGGGAACAGCUGUGGUGCCCGUGGCCAGGACCCAGCCAAGCUCAUGGCUGCCCACAUCACAAUGAAGACCAACCCCUUCGUGUGGUCAUCCUGCAGCCGCGACUACAUCACCAGCUUUCUGGAUUCGGGCCUGGGGCUGUGCCUCAACAACCGGCCCCCCAGACAGGACUUUGUGUACCCAACAGUGGCGCCUGGCCAGGCCUACGAUGCAGAUGAACAGUGCCGUUUCCAGCAUGGAGUCAAAUCGCGUCAGUGUAAAUACGGGGAGGUCUGCAGCGAGCUGUGGUGCCUGAGCAAGAGCAACCGGUGCAUCACCAACAGCAUCCCGGCCGCCGAGGGCACACUGUGCCAGACGCACACCAUCGACAAGGGGUGGUGCUACAAGCGCGUGUGCGUCCCCUUCGGGUCAAGGCCAGAGGGCGUGGACGGGGCCUGGGGCCCGUGGACCCCGUGGGGCGAUUGCAGCCGGACGUGUGGCGGAGGCGUGUCCUCCUCCAGCAGGCACUGCGACAGCCCCAGGCCAACCAUAGGGGGCAAGUACUGCCUGGGCGAGAGACGGCGACACCGCUCCUGCAACACAGACGACUGUCCGCCAGGCUCCCAGGACUUCAGGGAGAUGCAGUGCUCUGAGUUUGACAGUGUCCCCUUCCGUGGAAAGUUCUACACAUGGAAGACAUACAGAGGAGGGGGCGUGAAGGCCUGCUCACUCACGUGCCUAGCAGAGGGCUUCAACUUCUACACGGAGCGGGCGGCGGCCGUGGUGGACGGGACACCCUGCCGCCCCGACACAGUGGACAUCUGCGUCAGCGGCGAGUGCAAGCACGUGGGCUGUGACCGGGUCCUAGGCUCUGACCUGCGUGAAGACAAGUGCCGUGUGUGUGGUGGCGACGGGAGUGCCUGUGAGACCAUCGAGGGAGUCUUUAACCCAGCCUUGCUGGGGGCCGGGUACGAGGAAGUCGUCUGGAUCCCCAAAGGCUCUGUCCACAUUUUCAUCCAGGACCUGAACCUCUCUCUCAGUCACCUGGCCCUGAAGGGGGACCAGGAAUCCCUGCUGCUGGAGGGGCUGCCUGGGACCCCCCAGCCCCACCGCCUGCCCCUGGCUGGGACUACCUUCCAGCUGCGACAGGGGCCAGACCAGACCCAGAGCCUAGAAGCCCUGGGACCUAUCAACGCAUCUCUCGUUGUCAUGGUGCUGGCGCGGACAGAGCUCUCCACCCUGCGUUACCGCUUCAAUGCGCCCAUUGCCCGCUACGCACUGCCUCCCUACUCCUGGCACUACGCACCGUGGACCAAGUGCUCCGCCCAGUGUGCAGGCGGCAGCCAGGUGCAGGCCGUGGAGUGCCGCAGCCAGCUGGACAGCACAACUGUGGCCCCGCACCACUGCAGUGCCCACAGCAAGCUGCCCAAGAGGCAGCGUGCCUGCAAUACAGAGCCCUGCCCACCAGAUGCACCCCCAGCUGUGGGCCCGGCCUCCGCCACCGUGUGGUCCUUUGCAAAAGCGCUGAUCACCGUGCCACGCUGCCCCCUGCACACUGCCCACCCGCAGCCAAGCCGCCGGUCACCAUGCGCUGCAAUUUGCGCCGCUGUCCCCCGGCCCGCUGGGUGGCGGGCGAGUGGGGCGAGUGCUCUGCGCACUGCGGCUUUGGGCAGCAACAGCGCACCGUGCGCUGCACCAGCCACAUGGGCCAGCCAUCGCGAGAGUGCACCGAGGCGCUGAGGCCGCCUGCCACACAGCAGUGUGAGACCAAGUGUGAGAGCGUGCCUGCUGGGGAUGCCCCCGAAGAGUGCAAGGAUGUGAACAAGGUCGCCUACUGCCCCCUGGUGCUGAAAUUCCAGUUCUGCAGCCGAGCCUACUUUCGCCAGAUGUGUUGCAAAACCUGCCAGGGCCGCUAGGGGG